rnacentral:rRNA from 1 species
GACGAACGCUGGCGGCGUGCUUAACACAUGCAAGUCGAACGGAAAGGCCCUGCUUUUGUGGGGUGCUCGAGUGGCGAACGGGUGAGUAACACGUGAGUAACCUGCCCUUGACUUUGGGAUAACUUCAGGAAACUGGGGCUAAUACCGGAUAGGAGCUCCUGCUGCAUGGUGGGGGUUGGAAAGUUUCGGCGGUUGGGGAUGGACUCGCGGCUUAUCAGCUUGUUGGUGGGGUAGUGGCUUACCAAGGCUUUGACGGGUAGCCGGCCUGAGAGGGUGACCGGCCACAUUGGGACUGAGAUACGGCCCAGACUCCUACGGGAGGGAGCAGUGGGGAGUAUUGCACAAUGGGCGGAAGCCUGAUGCAGCAACGCCGCGUGCGGGAUGACGGCCUUCGGGUUGUAAACCGCUUUCGCCUGUGACGAAGCGUGAGUGACGGUAAUGGGUAAAGAAGCACCAGCUAACUACGUG